CACACCACAGCUCCACACAAAACAGCCUUCCCUCCACACACACACGCAGCCACGCACACCACAGCGUCACAUCGUGACCUCCCCCCUCCACACACACGCAGCCCCACACACGCUCUGACCUCCACACGGCUCACCACAGCCCCCCCCAGCCCGCGGCCAAACACACCACAGCAUCACACGCACCAGAGCAGGCCGCGCAACAAAUAGCCGCGCGCAUACUCCACAACCACACCACAGCCGCCCGCGCGCAGCCCCUUCCCCAGCGACAGCACAACCUGCCCAAGCACAGGCACACUGUGAAGCCGAGGCUUCAGACCAGGGCCCUUCCCCACGUCCUGCCCAGCUCCUCCUGGCACACCUCUCUCCCACUUCACCAUCAGAUUUUCAGCAGCAGGCGUUACCACAGAAGCCUGGGGCUGCUUUCAUGUACGCCCUGAGACAACGCCAUCCCUUCUGGUGUCGCCUUGCCCCUGGUAACUGUAGGCCUCCUCCUGCAUUAGAGCUGGGAUUUUCAACGUUACUCAAUGAAGGCUGAGCUGCUUCUGACUUCUCUGAGCCUCAGGUGACGUUCCCUCGUUUUAGGUCUUUCUCAAAUCCUAGGACCCCAGGGCUUGUUACUGUCAUCCUCCAUCGCUAAAAGCAACUCCAUCUAUUUCACUCCUGACUAUGAAUUUUCUAAGGCCUUUGGAUGCGCUUCCUGGGAUACAAGGGGGCAACGGGAACCCAGCGCCUCGCAAAUGGAUCAAAUCUGCAGGCUCAGAAGGCAGUCUCCGAGGCUGAAGCCCUCUGAAAGGUGUACCUCAAGCUGAGCAGACAAAACAGGUCACAAAGCCGUUUGUGAAACUCUUGGACGCAGGGAGGAGGAGGAAUUCAUUAAUUCAGCAAACAAGGUUUCACCCAGGGCAAAUUCUGCAUCACAUCACCUCAGCAUUACCAGAAUCAUUACAGCACCACGUGGAGCAGGAAGGUCUCACCUGCUGAAGGAAGCCUGUACAGAACAGCAACAGGGGGAAGGAGGGGAAAGAAGGAGAAAAGAGGAAAUAUCUGGUUUCGAUCAACUCCUUAAAAAUAGAAGUCUGAUUGCUGUUGCCCAUUUCUGAUUCCCCAAGGGAGAGCAGGAGAAGAAGAAGAAUCUAUAAAUAGCUUGCAACACAGAGAAUCCUAUAGCAAAGUUGCUGGGAAAGAUCAAUAGCAUGAUUCAAGGAGGGCUCCAAAUUACAUCUCAGGGGAGGGAGGUGCUGAAUGGAAUUGAUAAAUGAGUUGCAAAUGCUGUGUGUGUUGUGUGUAUCUAAUUAACGGAGGGUGACUGGGAUCAAUAGCAACGAAGGAGCUGGUCUAAAAAUAGCGCUCGGGCAGGGAUUGCAACCUGCGGGCAACAGCUUGGAUGGAAAUGUCCCCUGGAGUAAUUAACCUUUAGCUGGAAAGUGGUGGUUAGCGUGGGAUCAAAGUGGAGCCUGUGGGCAGCUGGGAAGGGAUGAGGUCUCCGUGGAACUUCAGGGCACAAAGUAGCGUGACAGUCAUGGAGGGUAUAGGCACGGCCAUGAGCUUGCAGCCUUCCUCUGAUCAGGCUGCAGUGUCAAGCUGCGGAUUGAUGUAGUGCUUUCUGGAGAAAUAAUCUGAGUAUUAGCAUUUUGCUGGGGUUGUGGAACUGGAAGUAUUUGUAGUUCUGUGUACUUGCAAAGGUUUCAACAUUGCUUAGAGAAAAAUCACAGUCAUUUUUUAAACAUCAAUUUAUGUCUACAAGAAUUUGGGUUUUUCUUCUUUUAUGCUGACCUUGUUGCCGAGAAAGCAUCCACCUCUGAGAACCAGUCUUUGCUCAUCCAGACUCACCAACAGAAGUCCAUAUUUGAACCACAGAGCAAAUAACGUCCAAAGAGACGUGUCCCUCAAUCCUUCCAUCUACAGCAGAGCAGUCAAGCAAACUUCAGGGAGAUUGAUGUUGGACAGGAUGAUCUAUGGCUCAGCUCAUGGGCUCUUCUGGAGCACCAGGCUGAGCUGGCAUCACCCAAGUGAGAGGCAAAGACACAUACACCCAGGAACAGAAAGUUCAUUGUCAGCCUGAGUGCAGGAUUGGGACCCAGGGUGUACGGCAUGACUGAAAGAAAAGGAAACCAUAAAGAUGAAGAAUCUAGAAAAUAUAUCUUUGUAAAGCUGGCAUGGAAAGGAUUAGAGGGGUAAGGGAUGAGUGAAGAGCUUUUCUCUCAUAUAGAUAGAGGUGGCUAAAAAGAUCUUUCCUGGCCAAAAGUUUUCUCCAUAAGGUUAAAAAAAAAAAAAAGUCUUUUAUUCUGUUGUUGAUAGACCUACUGAUUGUUGAUAGAGCUACUGAAGCAGCAAACCUUGUUUAGUCACCAAAAGGAAGGUUAACUCGAAGUGUCAACAGAUUUCUUAGCUCCUCUCAGUUUAGCCUAACUUGAGGGAGAGCAAGCCAGGCUGGAAAACAACCCUGAGCUGUGUAGUGGUUGCCCUGGCUGCUGGCAGCCGUGCUAACCCAACAUUUCACCUACUCUCUCCACAAAAAGUCAACGAGAGUUAGAAGUCUCCCACACUCAAGGUAAGAGUGUGUGGGUGCUGUUGUGUUAUAGCAGCUCUCCUGUUUUACCUUGAGUUCACUCUGCAACGAAAGCAAGAGCUAGCUGCAAGGCAACUGGCUUCCGAGUUGCUUUUGUGGACCUCUCCAGUCGCUUCUGUUGACCUGUCGAGAGGUGCUUCUUGAGAGAGCUCUAAUGUCUCUCUCUGCAAGAAGGGGCUGAGAGCUGCCAAACCAUGAGCCAUCUUCCAGCUGAACCACAGGAGUCCCAACAAACCAGAUAAGGAAAAAAAGCCCCCAAACCAGAAAAAAUAACCGAAAAACAUGAUCAAAACUAGAAAGAAAAAGAGCUAACCUAUUUAUUUUUCUACACAGGUUAUCAAGAAACCAUUUUCUUGAAACAGUGGCACGAAGAUGGUCAGAACGGCAGUUCUGGUUCAGGGCCAAGGUUCAUUUAGCCCAGAAGUUUCUCUUCUGCAGAGGCUGUAGCAGACAUGAGGGAGAAAUGCAAACAGAACAAAGCUUGUGCAUGGCAGAAAGGGUGAGUUCACUUCUCAAUAUACAAGCCGAAGGUCUCUUCCAGGACUGCUGUGAAGGAUUUGGAAGAUGUUUCACUCAAACACAGAAUUUAUAUAUAGGCACAAAGCUUUCAUUAAACAUGAGCAGCUAAGGGGACAGCAUCAGUCACUGAUGGUAAUGUAUGCACGUCUUGUAGGCACACUAUAGAGGAACAAGCUGCCUUGCAGAAAUUAAUACAGCAAAGGUGUUGAUUAUUGAUGCAUUUGUUACUGAAUUGACUCCGCCUAAGUUUCCAGAGCCAAUGUGACUUCCAGAUCUAUUUGUAGAUUACCAAAUGCUCACAGUGUGACUGUCGCUUUUGCAUUUACUGCAGCAGAUGCCUCAAUGUAAUAUUUGAUGCGUACUUUAGAUGACUACCUUGUGUACCAAAACUGAAUAACCCUGAAUAAGAAUAAGUCUUUGAGAACCUGGCAGAGUAGAAAGGAAGAUCCCUGUACUGGUACAGCCUUCUCCAUCAUCACCAAAGGUAAUGGAGCCACAAAGAUCCAGAGCGCUGCGAGAGAUGUCUACCUGUAGCAAUGGGUACUGUGUUUUGAUGCAACAAAUUCUGAAUGAAUUUGUGGAAGUGUGCAUUUUGUUAAAAUCACCACUGAAGAAGGAAAUUAAUUGCUUAGGGGGCUUCCUGGCUAGUGCAAUAAGCUACAAUUGUUACUAAUGGAAUGCCGCUGUAAAGGGAAAAUAGGAGCUAUCAUGAGUAUUUGCUGUAGAAUUGUCUUGUCCAGAAGAAAAGACUCCAUAUUGCUUGGAAUAUUUAAAAUAAGGCUGAAUAAAAUGUGCUGAUUUACCUUA